ensembl:snRNA U6 U6 spliceosomal RNA
AUGUUUGCUUCAGGAAUACAUAUACUAAUAUUGGGGCAAUACAGAGAAGAUAACAUGGUCUCUGUGUGAAGAUAGACAUACAAAUUCGUGACAUGUUCCAUGUUUUU